rnacentral:lncRNA from 1 species
CGCCACAGCAAACAAAUCCCACCUAUACAACCCUACUUCCCGCCUACCUUACCGUCCACAACCUCACACCCGUCGCCAUCGUAGCCGUAGUGGACGAAACAUCUGCUGUUGUUGCUGUUUCUGGACAAUCCUCACCAUCCUCUUGCUCCUCCUCCUCGCUGCCAUUGCUGGUACUGCUCUUUACAUCCUUUACCGACCUCACCGCCCUACCUUCACCAUCACCUCCCUACGCAUCCACCGUCUUAAUCUCACCACCUCUGCUGACUCCUCCAUUUCCCACCUCUCCACUCUUCUUAACCUCACUAUCAUCUCCGAGAACCCCAAUUCACAUAUCUCACUAGACUAUGAACCCUUCACGGUCUCUGCAUUAUCUGAUGGCAAUGGUGUGUUUCUUGGUAAUGGUUCUUUGCCUGCUUUCAGUUUGAGUAAAAAGAAUCAGACAAGUUUUAGAAAUGUUGUGGUUUCUGGGUCGAACGAUCUUGACGU